rnacentral:lncRNA from 1 species
GGUGCAAUCUGGUUCCUACAAUGAAUAUGCUACAACCAACAUAUACCUCAGGGUUUCGAAUGGCUAGGAGAUUGAGUUAUGAUGUAGUCAAACUAUAACACACUCAAGGUGAACUGUCGAUGUACCUCAGGUCAAAGAACUAGACACACAGCUGCAGCAUCGAGCUAGUCAUCGAUGAGAAGGUAGACUUCCUUAUGACUGCUC